rnacentral:rRNA from 1 species
UACGAAGGGGGCUAGCGUUGCUCGGAAUCACUGGGCGUAAAGCGCACGUAGGCGGAUUGUUAAGUCAGGGGUGAAAUCCUGGAGCUCAACUCCAGAACUGCCUUUGAUACUGGCGAUCUCGAGUCCGGGAGAGGUGAGUGGAACUGCGAGUGUAGAGGUGAAAUUCGUAGAUAUUCGAAAGAACACCAGUGGCGAAGGCGGCUCACUGGCCCGGUACUGACGCUGAGGUGCGAAAGCGUGGGGAGCAAACAGG